rnacentral:lncRNA from 1 species
UUAGGUCCAAGACAUAUUGAGCCCAUGUGUUACAAUUAAUUAGAACUCUUCUAAUUUAAUUACUGAAUUAAUUUUUUUUAAUCCAUGAGAAUCUACAAAUCAAAAUUAAUAUUUAGCAAUGUGUCAUGACUAUUCAAAAGAUUUAAAAUUUAGUAGAAUAUCAAAAUAUCUUUUCAUGGUUAGUUAUCAUACAACACAAUAUCCUAGAC